GCCCUAGUAGCUUAGCUUAAAAGCAUCGGUCUUGUAAACCGAGAUCGGAGGUUAGACCCCUCCCUAGCGCC
rnacentral:tRNA from 1 species